rnacentral:tRNA from 1 species
GUUGCUGUAGCCCGAUUGUUCCAGGGUGAUGGUGUUACCGGUGCCAGCGGAAAGGCCGGUGGCGUAGUUGUCGGUGCCGCGCUGAUCGGCGAUC